AGCACGAAGGUUGGCUAAUCCUGGUCGGACAUCAGGAGGUUAGUGCAAUGGCAUAAGCCAGCUUGACUGCGAGCGUGACGGCGCGAGCAGGUGCGAAAGCAGGUCAUAGUGAUCCGGUGGUUCUGAAUGGAAGGGCCAUCGCUCAACGGAUAAAAGGUACUCCGGGGAUAACAGGCUGAUACCGCCCAAGAGUUCAUAUCGACGGCGGUGUUUGGCACCUCGAUGUCGGCUCAUCACAUCCUGGGGCUGAAGUAGGUCCCAAGGGUAUGGCUGUUCGCCAUUUAAAGUGGUACGCGAGCUGGGUUUAGAACGUCGUGAGACAGUUCGGUCCCUAUCUGCCGUGGGCGCUGGAGAACUGAGGGGGGCUGCUCCUAGUACGAGAGGACCGGAGUGGACGCAUCACUGGUGUUCGGGUUGUCAUGCCAAUGGCACUGCCCGGUAGCUAAAUGCGGAAGAGAUAAGUGCUGA
rnacentral:rRNA from 1 species